UAGUUAGAGGCAUGAUGUACUAUAGGAGAGCUUUGAAGCUUCAAGCGUUCCUUGACAUGGCUUCUGAAUCUGGUAAGCUU
rnacentral:snoRNA from 1 species